rnacentral:misc_RNA from 1 species
GGAAGGAUCAUUAACACGUAUCCACGUAUCAACCAAUGAGAACUCGUUUUCCCGUCUCCCUUUGCAAAGAAUGAAUUGGAACCAGUUUGAGGGAGUGAUGGGACCGCAAGGUCGGCCUUCCUGGUACACUUAUGCAGAUAGAAAUAUUUGCAUAGACAAUUGGAUUUUUGCAGAGGCUAUUUCUUAUCGCUUUGAUCUCCAUCAUGAUCGUGGCGGUAGGGAAACUUUCACUAUAUUUACCUUUUUUGCUAGUUGACUUUUUAUAUGUGUUGUCUUGCGAAAGCAUGGUGGCACACGUUUAUUAAUUGAACGUUAAAAAAUACAACUCUUAGCAAUGGAUAUCUUGGUUCUCGCAACGAUGAAGAACGCAGCGAAAUGCGAUACGUAAUGCGAAUUGCAGAAUUCAGUGAAUCAUCAAAUCUUUGAACGCAAAUUGCGCUCUUGGGUAGCCCUAGGAGCACGCCUCUCUCAGUAUCGGUUCAACAAUCUCUCAGCAGCGUAUAGAAAUAUACGUGAUGGCUGGAUAAUGAGAGUCUGAGUGUUACACUCAGUCUCUUUAAAUUCAUGGAGUAAGCAUGACUAGCGAUCAACUCUUGCUUUGCAAGAUAGUCUGUUUCGGACUGUUGUUCAUUAGUGACGUGAAUACUGGCCUUUAUGGUCUCCUUUUACGUGUAUCUUUUGAAUAAUAAUUAAGUUUGGGAUAGGCGAACGUUCGAUUAGGGUGUGUUUAUGGAAGAAAACCAUAUGAUCGUAAUUAAUUCAUUUUAAUUGUGGUCUGAAUUUUGAUCUGAGAUGAAGCGAGACAACCCCCUGAAUUUAAGCAUAUUAAUAAGGGGAGGAAAAGAAACUAACAAGGAUUCCCCCAGUAACGGCGAGUGAAGCGGGAAGAGCUCAAUUUGAAAAUCGAUUACCUAAACGGGUCAUCGAGUUGUUUGGGAUUGCAGCUCUAAAUGGGUGGUAAGUUUCAUCUAAAGCUAAAUAUAGGCGAGAGACCGAUAGCGAACAAGUACCGUGAGGGAAAGAUGAAAAGAACUUUGAAAAGAGAGUUAAAAGUACUUGAAAUUGCUAAGAGGGAAGCGCUAAAAAACCAGUGAUACGCUAGGUCAAUCGCUCUUGGCCCCACUAGUUAGUCUGAGUAAUGGGCAACCUUGCUUUGGCUGACGAAAGGGUGGUUGGGGGUUUCUGAUUUAGUGUCAGUCAAGAUCAAUUCGGAUUGUGGGAGAAGGUAGCGAGGGAGGUAGGAGAGCAAUCUCUGUUAUAUCCUUGUUACUCUACCUCGGCCUGGAUUGAGGAAGUAAUAGUGCGCUGCUUGCGGCUUGGUCCUGCGUUCCUAUUGCCCUACUUGCUCUCAUAGCAAUGCUAUGUUUGUGGGAAAAGGUAAUACUGGGCGUGGUGAUUCUAUGUGCUAUCACGAUCUUGUACGAAAUGGUUUUUAUCGACCCGUCUUGAAACACGGACCAAGGAGUCUAACAUCUAUGCAAGUAUUUGGGUGCAAAACCCUGAUGCGUAAUGAAAGUAAAGGCAGACUUGUUCUGCUGAGGUAGGAAUCCUGCAAGGGAGGCACUAUCGACCGAUCAUCACUUGUGAAAGAUUUGAGUAAGAGCAUAUCUGUUGGGACCCGAAAGAUGGUGAUCUAUGCCUGAACAGGGUGAAGCCAGGGGAAACUCUGGUGGAGGCUCGUAGCGAUACUGACGUGCAAAUCGUUCGUCUGAUUUGGGUAUAGGGGCGAAAGACUAAUCGAACCAUCUAGUAGCUGGUUCCCUC